rnacentral:rRNA from 1 species
CCUCCCUCCCUGCCCUAGCUACUCGCUUCAUCUCCUCCACACACGCACACGCACAAACACAAACACUUUUUUUCUCCCUCUUACAAGAUUCAACUCGAGCUCAUCAUUCGCAGUGGAGCAAAGCUGAUGGAAGCAAAUUAGCAAGUGGAGUGGAGUGCCAGGAGCUCCCGCGCCACACGUACCGGAGGAGUGGUAGCUAGCUAGCGUCGGCCGGGGACCGGCUUAGUGUGUGGAGGGAGGCGCGCACGAUGUCGGCGGCGUCGGGCGCCGCGUGCCGCGUGUGUGGCGGGGGCGCUGAGGACUGCUCCUGCUUGCUGCAGCGGGGGAGAGGUGCUGCAGGGGUGCGGUGCGGGGUGGCCGACCUGAACCGGGGCUUCCCCGGGAUGUUCGGCCAGGCGGCGGAGGAGCCGGCCGUCGACGUCGUUGCCGGAGGCGGCGGCGCUGCGGCGGUGGGGCUGCAGGAGUUCCAGUUCUUCGGGCAGGAGGACCACGAGAGCGUGGCCUGGCUGUUCAACGACCACGCGCCCCUCGGUGGGGAGGACCGCCUGCAGCACCGCCCGGCGACCACCGAGCAACUGCAGCGCCGCCAGGCGUUCGACGCGUACGCCGAGUACCAGCCCGGACAUGGCCUCACGUUCGACGUGCCGGUGCCACUGAGCCGAGAUGUCGUCGACACGGCCAUUCUGGGGCUCGGCGGCGGCAACCCGGUCACGUCAGGCGCCACAAUCGUGAGUGGUUCGGUUCUCAUGCUUGACCCCCCGAAAACUAUAUUUUUUCCGUAUGCAUAUGCAGAUUAGUUAGUGAUUUUUGUUCUAAAAAAUAACAAAUACAGCUUAGAGAACACACUUGCAAAUAGUAGUACUAUUACUAUAUUUCUGCGUAGCGUGCAUAUUGGCAAUUACUCCCUCUGUACGUAACUUAAUGUAAAACGUUUUUUGCAGGCACAGAGGUAGUACUAAUUAGUGGUCGAUUACACUUUAGACUGUUUCUUGUAAGAGCUAGCUAGGCCAUGUAUAUGCAUGAACAGUUUUGUCUUGUCUUAUCUCUACCAUCGAAGAUGAUAUGCUAAUGAUGAGCUAUAGUAGUGGCAAGAACAUAAUUUCUUUGGAAAAACUAUAGAUAACCAGCUGUAAUUACCGGAGUCUUCGAAGGCUUAGAAUUAUACUGCAUAAUUAAUGUCAUAUGGAAGAAAUUGGCAAAAUGUACACAUCAAAAAUCUCAAAAACGUGUCUAUCACUGACUUUUCCACCCUUGGUGAACACUAGUAAUGUCUGUAUGUAAGACGUAUAGAGAUAAAGAACUUCUCAUUACAAUGUGGAUAAACUAAACCCUAUCAGAGAAUACAAGCUUUACAUUCUAAUUGUCGAUGUGCAUGUUCACAAUGAGUCGAUCUCAAUUAACCCAGUGCAAACGAAAACACCAGUUUAAUUUGGACCGUGCUACAAAUCAGAUGUCAGAUUUCUAAACAUGGUAAAUCAAAUGUUUUUCAUGGCAAAUUGCGCAUCGUGAGCAUCAUGUGAUGCAGAGGACGGGGGUCAUCCUCUUUUUUGAAAAAAAAUACACAUCAUGAGCCUGUCAAUUCCAUUUAGCAAACAUGGCAAAUCCUGACGUUUUCAGUUUUUUUGCCAGGAUUUGUCAUGCUUGUAAUGCCAGGAUUUGUCAUGCUUGCUCAAAGGAAUUUCUAGCAUAGCCUCAUACUUUCACGUAUUAAUUUUCAGAUGCCCUAUUGCGGGAGAGAAAUGUUGACGUUCACGGAAGCCGCGGCCAGCUCGGUCGACCGGAACGAUGACACGGCGGCGGGGCUGGCCAACGGCGGCGCGUACUCUGCCGGCCCGAGCGGCGUCGUCGUCGGCGACGUACCGGCACCAACGGAGCUGCGGGAGGCGAAGCUGAUGCGGUACAAAGAGAAGCGGAAGAGGCGGCGGUACGAGAAGCAGAUCCGGUACGCGUCCCGCAAGGCCUACGCCGAGAUGCGGCCGCGCGUCAAGGGACGGUUCGCCAAGGUGCCCGACGGCAGCGAGGGCGCGGCACCGUCGCCGCCGCAGCAGCCGACACAGGCCGCCGGCUACGAGCCCGGCCGGCUCGACCUCGGGUGGUUCCGCUCGUAGCAAGCAGACAUGUAUUACACGCGCACGUAGUGCAGCGGUAGAACGGCGGCUAGCUCGAUGUCAUGUGCGUGCAUGCAUGCAUGCUGCCGUAGGAGGCUGCCAUGCAUGAGUCGCUUCUAGCUUAUCUCGUAGAUCGUCGUAUAUAGAUCAACGGAUCAUUUCUCGGUCGGGUUAAUUGUUGGUAUAUAAAGAGCUCGUAAUUAACAUUUAGAGCGCAGGAUCAAGGUCGACCUUAAUUAAAUAGUGCGAUUCGUUUAUCAUUUGUUAACGAUAAAGUACAUGCGAAUGUGACCAUCUACUUUCUCCGUCCCAAAAUAAGUGUAUAUCAACUUUAACAUAACUUAUUUUGUGACGGAGAGAGUAUAUGCCACCGUCUCCCUGAUUUCAUAUUAUGGCUGCCUAAUUUACGACGGCUGGCUAAUGAUUUGCUUUU